GCUUUCAACAUCCCCGUCCGGCGCCCUCUAGGGCGAGCUGGACUGAAGGC
rnacentral:sRNA from 12 species